rnacentral:pre_miRNA from 1 species
UACCAGUUUAAACUUCGACUCAUCUCAAAUCAGUCUAUAAAUGAGAAGAUCGUUGUUUAAACGCGGGAUU